rnacentral:rRNA from 1 species
UGUAGGACUGCAACGUGGACUUAAAGAUUAUAGAAGAACUACCUGGGAAGGUAGGCCAAAGAGAGUAAUAGCCUCGUAUUCGAAAUAGUCUUUAUACCUAGCAGUAUCCUGAGUACGGCGAGACACGAGAAAUCUCGUCGGAAUCUGGGAGGACCAUCUCCCAACCCUAAAUACUCUCUAGUGACCGAUAGUGAACCAGUACCGUGAGGGAAAGGUGAAAAGCACCCCGGGAGGGGAGUGAAAUAGAACCUGAAACCGUGUGCCUACAACAAGUUCGAGCCCGUUAAUGGGUGAGAGCGUGCCUUUUGUAGAAUGAACCGGCGAGUUACGAUAUGAUGCGAGGUUAAGUUGAAGAGACGGAGCCGUAGGGAAACCGAGUCUUAAUAGGGCGCAUUAGUAUCAUGUCGUAGACCCGAAACCAUGUGACCUACCCAUGAGCAGGUUGAAGGUGAGGUAAAACUCACUGGAGGACCGAACCAGGGCACGUUGAAAAGUGCUUGGAUGACUUGUGGGUAGCGGAGAAAUUCCAAACGAACUUGGAGAUAGCUGGUUCUCUCCGAAAUAGCUUUAGGGCUAGCGUCGAUGUUAAGUCUCUUGGAGGUAGAGCACUGUUUGGGUGAGGGGUCCAUCCCGGAUUACCAAUCUCAGAUAAACUCCGAAUGCCAAUGAGAUAUAAUCGGCAGUCAGACUGCGAGUGCUAAGAUCCGUAGUCGAAAGGGAAACAGCCCAGACCACCAGCUAAGGUCCCAAAAUAUAUGUUAAGUGGAAAAGGAUGUGGGGUUGCACAGACAACUAGGAUGUUAGCUUAGAAGCAGCUAUUCAUUCAAAGAGUGCGUAAUAGCUCACUAGUCGAGUGACCCUGCGCCGAAAAUGUACCGGGGCUAAAACAUAUUACCGAAGCUGUGGAUACCUUUAUAGGUAUGGUAGGAGAGCGUUCUAUGUGCGAAGAAGGUGUACCGUGAGGAGUGCUGGAGCGCAUAGAAGUGAGAAUGCCGGUAUGAGUAGCGAAAGACAGGUGAGAAUCCUGUCCACCGUAAGACUAAGGUUUCCAGGGGAAGGCUCGUCCGCCCUGGGUUAGUCGGGACCUAAGGAGAGACCGAAAGGUGUAUCCGAUGGACAACAGGUUGAUAUUCCUGUACUAGAGUAUAUAGUGAUGGAGGGACGCAGUAGGCUAACUAAACCAGACGAUUGGAAGUGUCUGGCCAAGCAGUGAGGUGUGAUAUGAGUCAAAUGCUUAUAUCUUUAACAUUGAGCUGUGAUGGGGAGCGAAGUUUAGUAGCGAAGUUAGUGAUGUCACACUGCCGAGAAAAGCUUCUAGCGUUAAUUAUACUCUACCCGUACCGCAAACCGACACAGGUAGUCGAGGCGAGUAGCCUCAGGUGAGCGAGAGAACUCUCGUUAAGGAACUCGGCAAAAUGGCCCCGUAACUUCGGGAGAAGGGGCGCUGACUGAUGGUCAGCCGCAGUGAAUAGGCCCAAGCAACUGUUUAUCAAAAACACAGCUCUCUGCUAAAUCGUAAGAUGAUGUAUAGGGGGUGACGCCUGCCCGGUGCUGGAAGGUUAAGAGGAGUGCUUAGCGUAAGCGAAGGCAUGAAUUGAAGCCCCAGUAAACGGCGGCCGUAACUAUAACGGUCCUAAGGUAGCGAAAUUCCUUGUCGGGUAAGUUCCGACCCGCACGAAAGGCGUAAUGAUUUGGGCACUGUCUCAACGAGAGACUCGGUGAAAUUUUAGUACCUGUGAAGAUGCAGGUUACCCGCGACAGGACGGAAAGACCCCAUGGAGCUUUACUGCAGUUUGAUAUUGAGUAUCUGUACCACAUGUACAGGAUAGGUAGGAGCCUAUGACCUCGGGACGCCAGUUUCGAGUGAGGCGUUGUUGGGAUACUACCCUUGUGUUAUGGCUACUCUAACCCAGAUAGGUUAUCCCUAUCGGAGACAGUGUCUGACGGGCAGUUUGACUGGGGCGGUCGCCUCCUAAAAGGUAACGGAGGCGCCCAAAGGUUCCCUCAGAAUGGUUGGAAAUCAUUCGCAGAGUGUAAAGG